AGGACGAACGCUGGCGGCGUGGCUAAGACAUGCAAGUCGCACGGAGUAGCAAUACUCAGUGGCGAACGGGUGAGUAAUGAAUCGCUAACGUACCCCGGACUCUGGGAUAGCUAUCCGAAAGGGUAGGUAAUACCAGAUUAUAUAACUCUGCUGCAUGGCAGAGUUCUCAAAGGUCCGCCGGUCUGGGGAGCGGGGCGAGUUUGUAAGUCGAGCUAGGUUGGUGAGGUAACGGCUCACCAAGGCGACGACGCAUAGCCGGACCGAGAGGUUGGCCGGCCACAUUGGGACUGAGACACUGCCCAGACUCCUACGGGGGGCUGCAGUAACGAAUCUUCCGCAAUGUACGAAAGUAUGACGGAGCGACGCCGCGUGUAGGACGAAGCCCUUCGGGGUGUAAACUACUGUCAGGGGUUAGAAAGUUCUGAUCAACCCCAGAGGAAGGCACGGCUAACUCUGUGCCAGCAGCCGC
rnacentral:rRNA from 1 species